rnacentral:rRNA from 1 species
AAUGAACGCUGGCGGCGGGCCUAAUACAUGCAAGUCGAGCGAACAGACGAGGAUCUUGCUUCUCUGACGUUAGCGGCGGACGGGUGAUUCACACGUGGAUAACCUACCUAUAAGACUGGGGUAACUUCGGGAAACCUGAUCUAAUACCGGAUAAUAUAUUGAACCGCAUGGUUCUAUAGUCAAAGACGGUUUUGCUGUCACUAAUAGAUGGAUCCGCGCCGCAUUAGCUAGUUGGUAAGGUAACGGCUUACCAAGGCUACGAUGCGUAGCCGACCUGAGAGGGUGAUCGGCCACACUGGAACUGAGACACGGUCCAGACUCCUACGGGAGGCAGCAGUAGGGAAUCUUCCGCAAUGGGCGAAAGCCUGACGGAGCAACGCCGCGUGAGUGAUGAAGGUCUUCGGAUCGUAAAACUCUGUUAUUAGGGAAGAACAAAUGUGUAAGUAACUAUGCACGUCUUGACGGUACCUAAUCAGAAAGCCACGGCUAACUACGUG